rnacentral:pre_miRNA from 2 species
GUUUGCCUGGCUCCCUGCAUGCCAUAUAAGAGGCUUCUCAAAAUGGUUGACGACCCUUUUACUUGGCGUGAAGGGAGUCAAGCAGGC